AGCAGUCGCCGCGGAAUACGGAGGGGGCUAGCGUUGUUCGGAAUUACUGGGCGUAAAGCGCACGUAGGCGGCUUGGUAAGUUAGAGGUGAAAGCCUGGAGCUCAACUCCAGAAUUGCCUUUAAGACUGCCGAGCUAGCAGGUGAGAGAGGUAAGUGGAAUUCCGAGUGUAGAGGUGAAAUUCGUAGAUAUUCGGAAGAACACCAGUGGCGAAGGCGGCUUACUGGCUCAUACUGGACGCUGAGGUGCGAAAGCGUGGGGAGCAAACAGGAUUAGAUACCCGCGUAGUCCCUGUCUCUUAUACA
rnacentral:rRNA from 1 species